AUCACUUCCCAUCAAGUGUAUUUUCUGUUCUUAGCAGUUUAACAUCUAACACAAGUCCUCUUUGGAGGACAACAGGUUACAUGUUACACAGAUUUUUGGAACUGGAGGAUGGGAUAGAGGCUGGCUCCAUCCAUCCUGGGUGACAACCUAGGGUUGCAGUACCACCAGGAACCAUGCUUCCCAC